rnacentral:lncRNA from 1 species
AUCAUGUGUCCUCCAGCUGACCGUCCCAAUACCUUUGAUCGCACAGCUCGAUCCAUCUGGCAGAUAUACAGUGCCCUCACUGUUCUCCAGGGAGUCAAACUGCUCCUCUCUGCAACAUACAUGAUAGGGGCAUGCAGAAUCUAAUAUCCACUGCUGGAAAGAAGUAAAUACCUUAUCAAAUAUCUCCAGAACAUCUCCAUCUGAAUCGCUGCUGGCCGUCGCUACAGCAGCCACUGUCCGAUUUUUGAGUUGAGGGCAAUCUCUGGCUAGAUGCCCCAACUCUUCACACCGGUAACACCUGGUUUUGCUCAAGUCCC